rnacentral:rRNA from 1 species
CUACGGGUUGCUGCAGUGGGGAAUAUUGCACAAUGGGCGCAAGCCUGAUGCAGCCAUGCCGCGUGUAUGAAGAAGGCCUUCGGGUUGUAAAGUACUUUCAGCGGGGAGGAAGGGAGUAAAGUUAAUACCUUUGCUCAUUGACGUUACCCGCAGAAGAAGCACCGGCUAACUCCGUGCCAGCAGCCGCGGUAAUACGGAGGGUGCAAGUGUUAAUCGGAAUUACUGGGCGUAAAGCGCACGCAGGCGGUUUGUUAAGUCAGAUGUGAAAUCCCCGGGCUCAACCUGGGAACUGCAUCUGAUACUGGCAAGCUGGAGUCUCGUAGAGGGGGGUAGAAUUCCAGGUGUAGCGGUGAAAUGCGUAGAGAUCUGGAGGAAUACCGGUGGCGAAGGCGGCCCCCUGGACGAAGACUGACGCUCAGGUGCGAAAGCGUGGGGAGCAAACAGGAUUAGAUACCCGAGUAGUC